AGCUCGUCCGAACGUAGUGAGUUAUCUCCAUUGAUUCUUCACCGUCAGUUACAGAUCGAGCUCCUUGUUCUACUCUUUCUUCCUUCUCACUACUGCACUUGACUAGUUAACA
rnacentral:Y_RNA from 1 species